CAGGACCUGGCAGGGCGGCUGCCCUCCAGGCUGGGACAAGCGUGUCUUCUGCUAUCCACACCUUCGCCUACCAACACACAAGCCGCGGUGAGGCCCCGCCGCCUGGCGCCUCAGACCCAGAGCCACUGCUGUAGUCCUGUUUACACCCGGUCCGAACAGUCAAGUUUCGGGGAUACCAACGAGGCUGCCGCAGACACACCACCGGGGAAGCGGUGAGCUGCUCAUCUCUGGAGGCAUUCAACAAAGACUGCAGGGCUGCCAGCAGGAGCACUGUGCAGGAAACACCCUGUCUGGAUGGGAAAUUAGCCCAGAGAACCUCACCCCGGUGUCAUAGCUGCACAGAGCCUCCAGCAGCUUCUCAAGGAAAAACGUGUCCCCUGAAGACGCAGGAAGCUGUUGUGGAAGGAGUAUAGUUCCAAGAGAGUCGGAGGCAUCCACGUUCAGCCCUCAGCUCUGCCUCAUUUGCCGUCUCAGGGGCUCAGCUCCCUGGGCUGGGGGCGACCGGUCCCUCCUGCAGGGUGUCCUGAGGAGACAGGGUGAUGGGAGACGUUCUCAGAGGACCCAGCACAUAGCAGGUUCAGGCUUUUAUUUUUCCAUUUCUACAGUCUGUUACAGAAUCUGCUCAGUGAGGAAGGGAAGAGAAACCGAGUCGGUCGGGCCUCCUCCUCGGAACCUUUGCGAGGCCAGCUGGCCGGAGGGAAGCGGCCUUAGGUUCGGGGCGAUGCCGGGGCCCCAGCCCCGUUCUGUUCUGAACAGCUCUGUUCUCAGAGAAGUUCACGUUCCGCUGCGAAGCUCAGCUGCCAGGUCUACCGAAUGUGCGUACGUUAGAAGUCGCACAAGAGGGGCGCCUGGGCGGCGCAGUCGGUUAAGCGUCCGACUUCAGC